rnacentral:ribozyme from 14 species
AGAAUGAUCAUCUAAAAAAAAAAAAAAAUGGCGAAAGACCAGGCAUGUCAAAAAACUUUUGCAGGCGUCUCGGUCUCCGACUGGGGCACAGUUUUUUUUUUUUUUUU